rnacentral:rRNA from 1 species
GACGAACGCUGGCGGCGUGCUUAACACAUGCAAGUCGAACAGUGGCGAACGGGUGAGUAACACGUGAGUAACAUGCCCUCCACUUUGGGAUAACUCCGAGAAAUCGGGGCUAAUACUGGAUAGAGGGGGCUGGGCACGCGGCCUAUUAGUUUGUUGGUGAGGUAGUGGUCAGCAAGGCGUGACGGGUAGCGGGCCUGAGAGGGCGACCGGCAACACUGUGACUGAGACGCGGCCCAGACUCCUACGGGAGGCAGCAGUGGGGAAUAUUGCACAAUGGGCGAAAGCUUGAUGCAGCGACGCCGCGUGGGGGAUGACGGCAUUCUGGUUGUAAUCCUCUUUCAGCAAGGAAUCGGUACUUGCAGAAGAAGCGCCGGCUAACUACGUGCCAGCAGCCGCGGUAAUUC